rnacentral:rRNA from 1 species
GACGAACGCUGGCGGCGUGCCUAAUACAUGCAAGUAGAACGCUGAAGAGAGGAGCUUGCUCUUCUUGGAUGAGUUGCGAACGGGUGAGUAACGCGUAGGUAACCUGCCUUGUAGCGGGGGAUAACUAUUGGAAACGAUAGCUAAUACCGCAUAACAAUGGAUGACACAUGUCAUUUAUUUGAAAGGGGCAAUUGCUCCACUACAAGAUGGACCUGCGUUGUAUUAGCUAGUAGGUGAGGUAAUGGCUCACCUAGGCGACGAUACAUAGCCGACCUGAGAGGGUGAUCGGCCACACUGGGACUGAGACACGGCCCAGACUCCUACGGGAGGCAGCAGUAGGGAAUCUUCGGCAAUGGGGGCAAGCCUGACCGAGCAACGCCGCGUGAGUGAAGAAGGUUUUCGGAUCGUAAAGCUCUGUUGUAAGUCAAGAACGGGUGUGAGAGUGGAAAGUUCACACUGUGACGGUAGCUUACCAGAAAGGGACGGCUAACUACGUG